rnacentral:rRNA from 1 species
GGGCCCGCACAAGCGGUGGAGCAUGUGGUUUAAUUCGAUGAUACGCGAGGAACCUUACCAGGGCUUAAAUGUUAGGUGACAGAUCUAGAAAUAGAUUUUUCUUCGGACACUUAACAAGGUGCUGCAUGGUUGUCGUCAGCUCGUGCCGUGAGGUGUCAGGUUAAGUCCUAUAACGAGCGCAACCCCUGUUGUUAGUUGCCAGCGAGUAAUGUCGGGAACUCUAGCAAGACUGCCAGUGCAAACUGUGAGGAAGGUGGGGAUGACGUCAAAUCAUCACGGCCCUUACGUCCUGGGCUACACACGUGCUACAAUGGUAGGUACAGAGAGCAGCCAAUGCGCGAGCAUGAGCAAAUCUUCAAAGCCGGUCUCAGUUCGGAUCGGAGUCUGCAACUCGACUCCGUGAAGCUGGAAUC